rnacentral:rRNA from 1 species
UGGGGAAUAUUGGACAAUGGGCGAAAGCCUGAUCCAGCCAUGCCGCGUGUGUGAAGAAGGUCUUCGGAUUGUAAAGCACUUUAAGUUGGGAGGAAGGGCAGUAAGUUAAUACCUUGCUGCUUUGACGUUACCGACAGAAUAAGCACCGGCUAACUCUGUGCCAGCAGCCGCGGUAAUACAGAGGGUGCAAGCGUUAAUCGGAAUUACUGGGCGUAAAGCGCGCGUAGGUGGUCUGUUAAGUUGGAUGUGAAAGCCCCGGGCUCAACCUGGGAACUGCAUCCAAAACUGGCAAGCUAGAGUACGGUAGAGGGUGGUGGAAUUUCCUGUGUAGCGGUGAAAUGCGUAGAUAUAGGAAGGAACACCAGUGGCGAAGGCGACCACCUGGACUGAUACUGACACUGAGGUGCGAAAGCGUGGGGAGCAAACA